rnacentral:rRNA from 1 species
AAUAGAUACCCCGGUAGUCCAUGCCGUAAACGAUGAACACUAGGUGUAGCGGAUUUAUUCACAUCUGCUGCGCCGUAGCUAACGCAUUAAGUGUUCCGCCUGGGGAGUACGGCCGCAAGGCUAAAACUCAAAGGAAUUGACGGGGCCCCGCACAAGCGGCGGAGCAUGCGGCUUAAUUCGAUGCAACCCGAAGAACCUUACCUGGGUUUGACAUCAUGGGUCUAGCUGUGGAAACACAGUGUGCUUACGCGCCCAUGACAGGUGGUGCAUGGCUGUCGUCAGCUCGUGUCGUGAGAUGUUGGGUUAAGUCCCGCAACGAGCGCAACCCUUGUCCUAUGUUGCCAGCACGUAACGGUGGGGACUCAUGGGAGACUGCCGGGGACAACUCGGAGGAAGGCGAGGACGAUGUCAAGUCAUCAUGCCCCUUAUAUCCAGGGCUGCACGCAUGCUACAAUGGGCGAUACAAUGGGCUGCGAUCCCGCGAGGGUCAGCCAAUCCCUUAAAGUCGUCCCCGU